rnacentral:rRNA from 1 species
GACAGAGGGUGCAAACGUUGUUCGGAAUUACUGGGCGUAAAGCGUGUGUAGGCGGUCCUCUAAGUCGGGUGUGAAAGCCCAGGGCUCAACCCUGGAAGUGCACUCGAAACUGGAAGGCUAGAGUACCGGAGAGGUUGGUGGAAUUCUCGGUGUAGAGGUGAAAUUCGUAGAUAUCGAGAGGAACACCGGUGGCGAAGGCGGCUACCUGGACGGUGACUGACGCUGAGGAGCGAAAGCCAGGGGAGCAAACGGG